rnacentral:rRNA from 1 species
UGGAAUCACGAGUGUGUCACUUGUGAAAAGAAGGGGAAAAAUGAUGAUAUCACCCUUACUUGUAGUGUUGUCCAAAGCUGGUGCCAGAAGACUCGGUAAUGCCAGAGACGCAAGCGUAAAUCAUCUUGAUCAGGCGUAAAGGGUUUGUAGGCUGCUUUAAAAUAAUUAAAGAUAGAAUCAAAUAGAGGUCACUGUGAGAGAAUUUUUAGAUUAGGGUUGAUAUCUGCACAAACUAGAAAGAAUUCUAAUUAGCGAAGGCACUUUUCCAUCUAAUGAUUGACGCUGAGAAACGAAGGGGAGGAUCGACAAUAGGAUUGGAUACCCUGGCAUCCCUCUCUGUAAACGAUGAAUGGUAGUUGCUAGUAAUAAUAGUUAGUGACGAUGCUUACGCGUUAACCAUUCCGCUUGGGAGUACGGCUGCAAAGUUGAAACAAAAAAUUAGUCGGUUCGGAGCAA